GGAGAGGUGGCCGAGUGGUUUAAGGCGUACGCUUGGAAAGCGUAUGGGCGAAAGCCCUCGCAGGUUCGAAUCCUGUCCUCUCCG
rnacentral:tRNA from 1 species